rnacentral:rRNA from 1 species
UACGAGGGGGGCAAGCGUUGUUCGGAAUUAUUGGGCGUAAAGGGCGCGUAGGCGGUGCGGUAAGUCACCUGUGAAAACUCUGGGCUCAACUCAGAGCCUGCAGGCGAAACUGCCGUGCUGGAGUGUGGGAGAGGUGCGUGGAAUUCCCGGUGUAGCGGUGAAAUGCGUAGAUAUCAGGAGGAACACCAAUGGCGAAGGCAGCUCGCUGGAACGGUACUGACGCUGAGGCGCGAAAGCGUGGGGAGCGAACAGG